rnacentral:rRNA from 1 species
GAUGAACGCUGGCGGCGUGCCUAAUACAUGCAAGUCGAGCGAACAGACGAGGAGCUUGUUCCUCUGACGUUAGCGGCGGACGGGUGAGUAACACGUGGAUAACCUACCUAUAAGACUGGGAUAACUUCGGGAAACCGGUGCUAAUACCAGAUAAUAUAUUGAACCGCAUGGUUCAAUAGUGAAAGACGGUUUUGCUGUCACUUAUAGAUGGAUCCGCGCCGCAUUAGCUAGUUGGUAAGGUAACGGCCUACCAAGGCAACGAUGCGUAGCCGAACUGAGAGGGUGAUCGGCCACACUGGAACUGAGACACGGUCCAGACUCCUACGGGAGGCAGCAGUAGGGAAUCUUCCGCAAUGGGCGCAAGCCUGACGGAGCAACGCCGCGUGAGUGAUGAAGGUCUUCGGGUCGUAAAGCCCUUUUAUUAGGGAAGAACAGAUGUAUAAGAAUACAUGCACGUCUUGACGGUACCUAAACAAAAAGCCACGGCUAACUACGUG